GCUCUAGUGGCGCAAUGGUUAGCGCGUUUGGCUGUUAUUAAUAACUGUAUAAAUACUGUUACCAAAAGGUUGGUGGUUCGAGUCCACCCUGGAGCG